rnacentral:rRNA from 1 species
AGGACGAACGCUGGCGGCGUAGCCGUAACACGAUGCAAGUCGAGCGGAGUUACAAGAGGAAGUUUCGGAUGGAAUUUGUAAUUAGCGGCGGACGGGUGAGUAACGCGUGAGCGACCAACCUUGCACAGGGGGAUAACGGACCGAAAGGUUCACUAGUACCGCAUGAGACCACGGUGUGCAUGACACAGAGGUCAAAGGAGCAAUCCGGUGCAAGACGGGCUCGCGUCCGAUUAGGUAGUUGGUGGGGUAAUGGCCCACCAAGCCUAUGAUCGGUAGCCGACCUGAGAGGGUGAUCGGCCACAUUGGAACUGAGAUACGGUCCAAACUCCUACGGGAGGCAGCAGUGGGGAAUAUUGGGCAAUCGGGGGGAAACCCUGACCCAGCAACGCCGCGUGAAGGAAGAAGGUUUUCGGAUUGUAAACUUCUGUCCUUGGUGAAGAGAAGAAGACGGUAGCCAAGGAGGAAGCCCCGGCUAACUACGUGCCAGCCGCGGC